AUUGAACGCUGGCGGCGGGCCUUACACAUGCAAGUCGGACGAGAGGCGAACGGGUGAGUAACGCAUCGGAACGUACCGAGGAAUGGGGGAUAACUGACCGAAAGGACAGCUACUACCGCAUAGUAUUCGAGCGGCCGAUGUUUGAUUAGCUUGUUGGAGGGGUAAAGGCCCACCAAGGCGACGAACAGGAGCGGGGCUGAGAGGAAGAGCCGGCACACUGGGACUGAGACACGGCCCAGCCUCCUACGGGAGGCAGCAGUGGGGAAUUUUGGACAAUGGGCGCAAGCCUGAUCCAGCCAUGCCGCGUGUCUGAAGAAGGCCUUCGGGUUGUAAAGGACUUUUGUCAGGGAAGCGUUACCUGCAGAAUAAGCACCGGCUAACUCCGUGCCAGCCGCCGCGGUAAUUC
rnacentral:rRNA from 1 species